AGGGUUUGAUCAUGGCUCAGAACGUACGCUGGCGGCACGCCUAACACAUGCAAGUCGAACGAAGUAGCAAUACUUAGUGGCAGACGGGUGAGUAACAUGUAGGUAUCUGCCCUUUGGCCUGGAAUAACACGAGGAAACUUGUGCUAAUACCGGAUAAGUCUUUACGGAGAAAGCUUUAUGCACCAUUGGAUGAGCCUGCACUUGAUUAGUUUGUUGGUGGGGUAAUGGCCUACCAAGACUGUGAUCAAUAGCUGAUUUGAGAGGAUGAUCAGCCACAUUGGGACUGAGACACGGCCCAAACUCCUACGGGAGGCAGCAGUGGGGAAUCUUGCACAAUGGAGGAAACUCUGAUGCAGCGAUGCCGCGUGAGUGAAGAAGGCCCUUGGGUUGUAAAGCUCUUUCGUCGGGGAAGAAAAUGACUGUACCCGAAUAAGAAGGUCCGGCUAACUUCGUGCCAGCAGCCGCGGUAAUACGAAGGGACCUAGCGUAGUUCGGAAUUACUGGGCUUAAAGAGUUCGUAGGUGGUUGAAAAAGUUAGUGGUGAAAUCCCAGAGCUUAACUCUGGAACUGCCAUUAAAACUUUUCAGCUAGAGUAUGAUAGAGGAAAGCAGAAUUUCUAGUGUAGAGGUGAAAUUCGUAGAUAUUAGAAAGAAUACCAAUUGCGAAGGCAGCUUUCUGGAUCAUUACUGACACUGAGGAACGAAAGCAUGGGUAGCGAAGAGGAUUAGAUACCCUCGUAGUCCAUGCCGUAAACGAUGUGUGUUAGACGUUGGAAAUUUAUUUUCAGUGUCGCAGGGAAACCGAUAAACACACCGCCUGGGGAGUACGACCGCAAGGUUAAAACUCAAAUGAAUUGACGGGGACCCGCACAAGUAGUGGAGCAUGUGGUUUAAUUCGAAGAUACGCGCAGAACCUUACCAACACUUGACAUGUUCGUCGCGACUCUAAGAGAUUAGAGUUUUCGGUUCGGCCGGACGAAACACAGGUGCUGCAUGGCUGUCGUCAGCUCGUGUCGUGAGAUGUUGGGUUAAGUCCCGCAACGAGCGCAACCCUCACUUUUAGUUGCCAUCAUUAAGUUGGGCACUCUGAAAGAACUGCCAGUGAUAAGCUGGAGGAAGGUGGGGAUGACGUCAAGUCCUCAUGGCCCUUACGUGUUGGGCUACACACGUGCUACAAUGGUAUCUACAACAGGAAGCAAGACUGCGAAGUUAAGCAAAUCCCUAAAAGAUACCUCAGUUCGGAUUGCACUCUGCAACUCGAGUGCAUGAAGCUGGAAUUACUAGUAAUCGUGGAUCAGCGUGCCACGGUGAAUGCGUUCCCGGGUCUUGUACACACCGCCCGUCACACCAUGGGAGUUGGUUCUACCUUAAGGCAAGGUUUCAAACCCUUGACCACGGUAUAGUCAGCGACUGGGGUGAAGUCAUAACAAAGGUAGCCGUA
rnacentral:rRNA from 1 species